GAAGAAUUAGUUUAUAUAAAACAUUAAAUUGUCAAUUUAAAAAUAUUUAUUAUACAAAUAUUCUUAU
rnacentral:tRNA from 1 species